UACGGAGGGUGCAAGCGUUAUCCGGAAUCACUGGGUUUAAAGGGUGCGUAGGCGGAUGAUUAAGUCAGUGGUGAAAGCUGGUCGCUUAACGAUCAAACUGCCAUUGAUACUGAUUGUCUUGAAUUGGGUUGAGGUUAGCGGAAUGUGACAUGUAGCGGUGAAAUGCAUAGAUAUGUCAUGGAACACCAAUUGCGAAGGCAGCUAACUGGGCCUUGAUUGACGCUGAGGCACGAAAGCGUGGGGAUCGAACAGG
rnacentral:rRNA from 1 species